rnacentral:tRNA from 1 species
AAGACUUUAAGUUAGCUUAAACUAUUAACCUUCAAAGUUAAAAAAAUCCAAACUUCAGGUAAGUUUUA